rnacentral:rRNA from 1 species
AUUGAACGCUGGCGGCAUGCUUUACACAUGCAAGUCGAACGGCAGCGCGGGCUUCGUCCUGGCGGCGAGUGGCGAACGGGUGAGUAAUGCAUCGGAACGUGCCCAGUAGUGGGGGAUAGCCCGGCGAAAGCCGGAUUAAUACCGCAUUCGACCUAAGGGUGAAAGCGGGGGACCGAAAGGCCUCGCGCUAUUGUAGCGGCCGAGGUCGGAUUAGCUAGUUGGUGGGGUAAAGGCUUACCAAGGCGACGAUCCGUAGCUGGUCUGAGAGGACGACCAGCCACACUGGGACUGAGACACGGCCCAGACUCCUACGGGAGGCAGCAGUGGGGAAUUUUGGACAAUGGGGGCAACCCUGAUCCAGCCAUGCCGCGUGCGGGAAGAAGGCCUUCGGGUUGUAAACCGCUUUUGUUCGGGAAGAAAUCCUCUGGGCUAAUACCCCGGGGGGAUGACGGUACCGGAAGAAUAAGCACCGGCUAACUACGUG